CGAAUAAAAUUUACAAAAGUAUUGAAAUUGGUAAUGAUCUUUGGUUGCCAAAUAAUUUUCUUAUUAGAGAACUCUGAUAACGUGUUUGUCUACAAUGUCGAAAUAUUAUUGAGAAUGUUUAUUUUAUACGAACAACGCAUGAAAAUUUGCAGCGAUAAUUAUUCCUCACCUCGUCAUUUUAAUUUAAUGGCCUAACCAUUAAAAACAUUGGACAUAAGAAAUGAAUAUCAGAUGGCAUUAUUACAACAUUUUACAUGGGAUACAUUAUCGUCCAUAUUUAUCAUCUUUUACAAACUGAAGGAAGAUGCUGUGUAUAACAAAUAUAACCCAAGUUAUAUAAAUCUAUGGUAGAAUUACUGUGAAAUAUUUUGUUUGAACUGCAAUUAUUGUCAUCAAUUCUCUACUGCUUGGAAUGAGUACAAGAUGAUUUUGAUUGCAAUUUAACUUGGAUAAAUUUACAAAGAAGUUUGCAGCAUCUUCAGGUAUUGACACAGGUCACAUAUGAUGUAACUAUAGAAAAGUAAAUACAACCGUUAAAAAAA